rnacentral:sRNA from 1 species
CGUCCAUGAUCUGCGGGCAGAUCAGAUGCACGUGACAGUCGAUGGCGCCCGCGGUCAGGAUCCGGCCGUUGCCCGCGAUGAUCUCCGUCGACGGGCCCACCACCAGGUCGGGAUGCACUCCGGUCAUGGUGUCCGGGUUGCCUGCCUUCCCGAUGGCUGCGAUACGGCCGUCGCGUAUUCCGAUGUCGGCCUUGAUGACUCCCCAGUAGUCGAUGAUCACCGCACCGGUGAUGACGGUGUCGGGCGCGCCAUCGGCGCGGGUGGCGCGACCCUGCCCCAUGGAUUCGCGCAG